rnacentral:rRNA from 1 species
UACGUAGGUGACCAGCGUUGUCCGGAUUUACUGGGCGUAAAGAGCGCGCAGGCGGUCGUUCAAGUCGAGUGUGAAAGCCCCCGGCUCAACUGGGGAGGGUCACUCGAUACUGAUCGACUUGAAGGCAGGAGAGGGAAGCGGAAUUCCCGGUGUAGUGGUGAAAUGCGUAGAUAUCGGGAGGAACACCAGUGGCGAAGGCGGCUUCCUGGCCUGUUCUUGACGCUGAGGCGCGAAAGCUAGGGGAGCAAACGGGAUUAGAUACCCCGGUAGUCCUAGCCGUAAACGAUGGACACUAGGUGUUGGUGGUAUCAACCCCACCAGUGCCGAAGCUAACGCAUUAAGUGUCCCGCCUGGGGAGUACGGCCGCAAGGCUAAA